GGGAGGGUGAGGUUCAGUGAGCUUUGACAGAAGUAAAACCCACGCGUAGAUGGGUAUAGCUAGCAGCAUCGCUGGGAGUAAACGCCUCAGUCCCCCUGAGGAUUCACUUAAUUGUGUAAAACAAUGAAUUGCGAGCACAGCUCCGUCUGUGCUCUGAGAAAUGGGUCCUGGUGAAGGAAACAGUUUUAUAAAGCAUGUCUUCCCCUUAAGGUGUGAGGACAGGAAAGAACUCCCGUCUUUGGGCUUCUCCUUUUCUACCUAUUUGACUUGAGUUCGGUCAUACCCAAUUUUCAGGUUGAUGAGAAGAAAUUCAGGUAUGUAUUUACCUUUGACAUUUUUCUUUGUUUACAAAAAAUCUUAGAAAAUCGGGAGGUUAUUCUUUUGCUCGAUAUGCCGAUGCUUUUUCCAAGCGAACACAUCACGUACGCUCCCUGUCACUCAGCUUCCUGCACCAGUUCUUUGGCUUUUGCCAGCCCAUCAUGAGCCUCCUCUGGCUCCUGCACCGCGGCUGUGACUGGCCCCGCCUCAUUCAGCGCUACAGAGAGCGACCGCUCCAUGCGCCAGCUUCGACACGGGCUGACUCACUCCACAGCUUCAGUGCCACUUCAAACAUGGUAGUCGUUCUCAUCUGCAUUUAACAACUAAUGAGUUCCCUUAGUAUUCGAAAUCCAUCUUUGCUGCCACACACUUACAAAGAGGACAAGAUGCAACACAGCUCUGCAAUAUACAGUGAAAAAAUGUACUGCAGUAUUCUUGGAAAUGCUCUCCCGCAGAAGAGCACUUCUACUGUACCUUAGCUUCUCAUUGCUGUGGAUUUCCUACUUGUCUGUUUAGACAGACUGGAAUUGUAAAAUUGCAUGCAGUAAUUUGAUUAAUAGUCCCUAAUUUUGCUCAGGAUUAAAAGAGAAAAAACACUAGUCUGCGAAUUAAGUGUUGCUAAAAUAGCAUCCUUCUAAUUUUUUUUUUUUAAAUACUCUUGUAUAAGGGAAAUGUCAGUAAGAAGUCUUGCUAUUAAGUUAUGUAACAAAAAAAUACCCAAUCCAAGUAGGGAGAAAGUGGAAGUGUGACCCUAUUUCUGAGUAGCCAGGUAUCUGGAGGUUAUUUGAAUUACAUCAGUCACCUGCUGUGAGUAUUAGUCAUACAAAUACUGCACUAAGUAUUGAAAGGCAAUAAGCUUCUUUAACUCUCAGAAAGUACUUAUUUCUUGAGAUAACAGCUUUUGGCAGGACAAAAAAGAUGAUACAGAGAUAUUGAAGAGGUAUUAUUCUGUCCAGGAUCAUGUCCAACCAUGGGAAACAACCCCAUUUUAGUUUCCUGUUGAUUUUGAUUACUGCCAACAUAUCUGUGUGAGGAAGGAGAUUUGAGGUUGAAGGCAGCAAAGUUUGAAAAAAUGCAAAAAGCAGGAACGUGAGACAUGCAAGGGCCAUAUCUCACUUAAGUUCUGGGUGCACAUUUCUAUUUAUUGACAAUAGAAAACCCUACUGCCUGGAUUUGCUUGAAUACCAGUUGAUAUAACAUUAUAGAGUAGAACUUACUGAUUCAAACAGGAGGUGCUCCUGUUGGAUAAAGGACCUUACAAGUUGAGACAAAACAAGCAGGAUAAAGCAGACAGCUACAGAACCUAAAAGAAACAAUACUUAACAGUCCCUUCAAUUGUCCUGAAGAUCUUAGUUUAACAAAGCCUACAUGUCUGUAUUUUAUAUCAUGUGUAUGUGUACACCAGCAUUGUCACAAAGUACCUUGUUGCAGAGCUGAGAUUAAAAUACCAGCUCCAUACUAAACUCUCUUGAGAACAAUGGGAAAUUGUCCUAGAACAAAGGCAGUUUCUUUUAGGGCCUGUGGAGAAAACUGGAAAAAAUGCAGUUAAAUUUUCAAAGCUGAUGUGUGACAAACCUAAAAUGACCAGCACCAUAGAGCACAAAAGCAGCCAAUCUGUACAAACUAAUUUUCAAGCUGCACCCCCCUGGCUAUCUCUGCUUUAAGUACCCUGAGAAAAUCCAAUUUAUUCGCAAAGUGUUGCCGUACAGUUGCAGAGGGCUCUGCAGCUGGUUUAGGUUUCUUUUCUUGUGUAGUACUACACAAAGCAGUUGCAUAUACAACAUGGAGACAACAAAGGCACGAAAGAAAGGAGAGCUCCAGUCUUUCAAGGAAACAGAAGGAAAGUAACUUUUCACAGCAAACUGUAUUAGUGGCUUCAACUGCAAGGUGCAAAGUAUAUUCCUUGACACCUGAAAAACAAAGACUCAUUAUCUACUUAAGGUAUUUGCCAGUAUUACAAGUAAUCCCUGAGAACAUGUUGUUCUGAUUUGGCAAGUGCUUCAGUAUACACUUGUGUUCUACAUUCAAAUGUGACCUGUGCAUAUCUGGUCACCAGAUUUGAGGCCAAAAUGUAGGGACAGUAAAUAUUUGACCUAUACUUUUCCCAGUAUUAGGCAUGAAGAAUACUUGUUUUUUUCCAGCUCUAAUUAGGUUAUCUUGCUUUAACAUUAAAAAAUAAAUCCAUCCAUGAGUAAUAAGUCCAGCAUAAUUGUUUUCAAUCGAAAUUAUUAAAAAACAUAGUAGUAAGAGUCAAAGGUACCCUGUAACAGGAAAUGUAUUAGACAUUGCAGUAUGAGAAGAAGCAGGGUAAGCUACAAGGCUGAAGUCACAGCAGCUUCUCAGUGUAAGAGAAUUUGCAGGGAAACUACUGCCCAUCUGAGAAAACAUGCAAGUAGGGGCUUUGGGCACUCUGCCUACCAAAAGGAGACAUUCAUCAGCCCAGCAGUACAGAUCUCACUGACUGCAAUGAGCAAUCUCACUCAAACAAAAACAAACUCAACACAAAUUGUCACACAGAGCCAGCCUCAUCCGAUUACGUGCACUUCCUUAUAUCCUGUGGCUGUAAUUUAGAACUGUGAACCUCCACACACUGGCACAAGUUAUUCCUGUGGGUUUCUUUGCAAACAGCAUAAUUUCAUUCUCAUCUAUGCUAAUAGUCAGACAGGCCCCAUUCAUCACUGCCCCCACCUCUGAGGAAAGAAAUUGAAAAACAGGACAGCAGAAUCUGGGUUAGAUAAAAAUUAGAUAGAAAUCAUACCAAGAUCACCACAAAACUCAAGUCUCCUCUGGCAGCUAUGUACACAAUGUGAACUGAUCUCAUGUGAUUCUGAAGUAAGGAAUAACAUUUGUCAGAUACUGUACGAAAAGAUCCUAUUUUUAAAAGAAAAAUGUAAUUUGAUUGUGAAAUACUGCAAGUUAUAGAAGAUUCCAUUGCAGACGUGAUGAAAAUAUUCAUAAAAAAAUGCAGGUCACCACUGAAAGGUCAAGGCCAAAAGAAGCCUGUUCCACCAAAUCUCUCAAAGGUCAAAAGAAAAGAAAAAACCUAAGACAUAAAUAUUACAUUCAUCAAAUUGAAGUAAUAGUUAUUCCAGAAUAAGACUUGACAGAAAAGAUCAAGCAUUUUUCCCAAAAGUAGUUUCUCAACUCAGCAAUUUAACUUUAGCAGUUUGCAGCAGCAAUGCUGGAAUAGUGGGAAUACACUUAAGCACUACUUUAAGUGCUAUAGUUAUGAGUAAAAUAAUCCAAAUUACUAUUGCAGAAUACAUGACUGUAAGCAACAAAUUAAAAUACAUAUCAGUUUACUCUCUAUGCAAAAUACUUUGCAUGCAUAAGGUUUUAACAUUUAAAUAACUGCCUGGCUAUUGGGUGGAAUUCAGUGUCAUUCUGGAUUACUGGGGCAGAGAGAAAAAAUUUCAUGAACACACAGAUUGACAGUAUACUUUUAUUAACAUAUCUUACAAUGCCAAUUAUUGUAUUCCUAGUUUUGUACUCUUCUGAUGUGUUAUAAAGAUUGAUUUAGAGUCUACAGUAAUGUACUGUACUUAAAUGAUCAUUCAUACAGGAUAUCACACCAGAACAUUUGAGACACACACACCACUCUAGUUUGGACCUGUUAUUUUUCAAGGUUAGCUUAAUAAAGUAGGAUUUAAAAAGUUAUGGGGGAAAUAAAAAUCCUUGUUUAGCAGCAUGCAAGGAUAUUCAAGUACAAUUUUUCAACCAAGACAUUUUUUGUUGUUUUUAAAUGGACUGGUGACUAAUUCACCAGUACUAUAAUAACCACUAUGAAAUACUCAAAUGUUGAAGUUAAGGCUAAUAGUUUUACUUCACAUCCAUAUGCACAAUCAGAGAACAUUCUGUUUUAAAUAAAACACAGUAAUCAAAUUCUGGACACACUAUCUCUCGUAAAUAAAGCAUUGGAGCUUCAAACUACAGAUCACUCAAGUUCAUGAGCCCUGUAAUAAUGUUAUGCUGGCAAUGUACAGAAUCUUUUUGCUCUUUAACCACACUUACAAAAUGGCCUGAUAUUCUUAAUGAGCAAUGCAAAAAUAUCACAGGCAGAACUUAUAAUACAGUAUCAAAAAAGUAAUAUUUUGGAAAAGACACAGCCAUUUAGUCAGUGAAACAGAGUAAUUCUAAUCUUAUAGGAAGUAUUGUAAUACUUUUGAAAUAUAUAUAUAUAUUUAUAUGUAUGUAUAAAAAACAGUAUCCUUUAUUGUAGGGUUUUUCAAAUUGCAGGUAUCCAGAAAAACUCAUCCUUUUCCUUCAGUGUGUUCUUGAUUGCUAUACAGUCAUUUUAUUUCCCCUAUAC